rnacentral:tRNA from 1 species
GCACUAGUAGCUCAGCAUCCAGAGCGUCG